rnacentral:rRNA from 1 species
CCUACGGGCGGCUGCAGUGGGGAAUAUUGGACAAUGGGGGGAACCCUGAUCCAGCCAUGCCGCGUGUGUGAAGAAGGCCCUCGGGUUGUAAAGCACUUUCAGUGAGGAAGAACGCCUGGUGGUUAAUACCCAUCAGGAAAGACAUCACUCACAGAAGAAGCACCGGCUAACUCCGUGCCAGCAGCCGCGGUAAUACGGAGGGUGCGAGCGUUAAUCGGAAUUACUGGGCGUAAAGCGCGCGUAGGUGGCUUGAUAAGCCGGUUGUGAAAGCCCCGGGCUCAACCUGGGAACGGCAUCCGGAACUGUCAAGCUAGAGUGCAGGAGAGGAAGGUAGAAUUCCCGGUGUAGCGGUGAAAUGCGUAGAGAUCGGGAGGAAUACCAGUGGCGAAGGCGGCCUUCUGGACUGACACUGACACUGAGGUGCGAAAGCGUGGGUAGCAAACAGGAUUAGAUCCCCUGUAGUC